CAGAAUCUUUCAAAUAUUUUACUUUACUAUAGUUCAUGUGCACACUAGUAUAAAAUGUAUACGCUUUUUACACAUCGUAAAAUAGUAUAUAUAUUUUUAUACCUCGUAGAACAGUCUAUACACUUUGGAUACACAAAAGCGUUCGGGCUACAUACAUUGGGGAUACACUGCAACAAUGUACGAUACACUUUAUAUACAAAAAUUAUACAAUAUAUAAAUGUGUAUAUAUAAUUUUUAUACACUAUAUAAAAUUCCAAAUUUAGUGUGGUGCUUCGUAUGUUAUUGGCAUAGAAUGGUCAGCAUAUGCAACUCUUAAAACACAAUCCUUUCCAUCCACCUUUUCUUUUCUAUCAUCUGUUAGACAUCCACAUAGAAAACUCCACCACCCACCGCUCUGCAUUGUGGCUGUCGCUGCAAUGCCACCACCAUCGCCACUGCACUGCCCUACUCGUACCCCUAAAAACAGAUUUUCAAAAAUCAGACUCGCCCAUCCCUGAACCAGCCUUAUCAAUCCAUAAUUUCACCAACCAACCUAAAGAAUUAAGGUCUAAAAGAGAGAAAAAGAAAAAAAGAGUGAGAAUUUAUACAAAAAAAUAAUCACAAAAAGAAGAAGAAAUAGAAAAGUAAGAAUGAGAAGAAUAAAAAAAUAAAAGGGGAUGUAUAUACAGUUUUUAUACAUUAUGUAAAAAGACUAUACACUCAUAAUACACAAAUACACUCGUGGUACACUCAAUAUAACACUUUGGAUAAACACACACUCGAGAUAUACUCAAUAUACACUAAGAAUGCACAGCUAACGUAGACAAUUUUUAUAUAUUACAUGGCAAUAUAUACAAUUUUUAUACAAAGAUACAAUAUAAUUUCGUGCAUGUAUAACUUUUAUGUACCUGAUUUAUAAUUCGUAUACAUUGUAUAACUGUGUAUAUAUAAUAUUUAUAUGAAAUUGCAAUACAAAUACUGCUUAGCCAUCCCAUUAAACCCAAAACCACUACCAAUACCCACUUCAAAAGAUCUUCACUCAUAAAAUAUCAUUAUGACCCAAAGAAGAAAAAUAAGAAGAAGAAAAGAAGCAAUUACUCUUACAAAAAAGAAAAACCUGCUGAGUUACCAUACAAUUUCAUAUCCUCAUAAAAAUUACUAUAACUACCAAUAAAACACCAUUAGAAAUACACAAAGCUUUGACUAGAAAAUCUCACGACUUCUACUGCCACUCUAUUAUUAUUCACCGUAGCUUUAAUAGAAUAAAUUCUUUUUAAAAUUUGAAUUAAACUUUCUUUGAGUUUUGUCGGUACUCAAACAAGCUUUUCCAGUAUGAAGUAAAAAAUAAAGAAAAAGAAAAUAUAGAUCUAAAUAGAAAGAUAGAGAAAGAAAAAUAAAAAAAUAAAAAAUAAAAAGAGAAAUAGCCAAAGAAAGAAAAAAAUAAAGACAAAGAUAGUACAAAAAAAGAAAGAGGUGAGAAAGAGGGUGAAAAAAUUACCUAGGUUUAAUUUGAUAAAAUGGAAGAGAAAGAGAAUGAAAUUGGUCUUGGGGAGAAAAAGUUAUGCAUCAAAUACAAUGAAAGAAAAAGAAAGAGGAUAGGAAUAAAGGUGGCCUUGGGAAGAGAAAUACAUUGGGAACAGAAGGUGGCUACAACUUGUAAAUAAAUUAGGUGGGAAGGUCAUUUCGGGUCAAUGAUAAAAAUAUUGGCUAAUACAUUUUUUGAAAGGCCAUACAAUGUCAUUUACUCAAAAAAAAGAAGUCGAGAAUGAGUGGUAAACUAGAGCUGAUACCUCAUAUCUUAUGCGGCUUCUCACUAAGCUAUAUAAAAGUACGAAAGUUCUAGGAGUAAUUGAUAAAAUAAUACCACCAAACUGACAAGAGAGGACGGCUCAUGUGGUAGG
rnacentral:lncRNA from 1 species